rnacentral:rRNA from 1 species
UGCCUCAGUAACGGCGAGUGAAGCGGCAACAGCUCAAAUUUGAAAUCUGGCCGCAAGGUCCGAGUUGUAAUUUGCAGAGGAUGCUUUUGGCGAGGUGCCUUCCGAGUUCCCUGGAACGGGACGCCAUAGAGGGUGAGAGCCCCGUACGGUAGGACCACCGAGCCUUUGUAAAGCUCCUUCGACGAGUCGAGUAGUUUGGGAAUGCUGCUCUAAAUGGGAGGUGUACGUCUUCUAAAGCUAAAUACCGGCCAGAGACCGAUAGCGCACAAGUAGAGUGAUCGAAAGAUGAAAAGCACUUUGAAAAGAGGGUUAAAAAGUACGUGAAAUUGUUGAAAGGGAAGCAUUCAUGACCAGACUUGGGCUUGGUUGAACAUCCGGCGUUCUCGCCGGUGCACUCUGCCAGUCCAGGCCAGCAUCAGUUUGCCCCGGGGGACAAAGGCGGUGGGAAUGUGGCUCUCUCCGGGGAGUGUUAUAGCCCGCCGUGUAAUGCCCUGGGGCGGACUGAGGAACGCGCUUCGGCUCGGAUGCUGGCGUAAUGGUCAUCAAUGACCCGUCUUGAAACACGGACCAAGGAGUCGUCUUCGUAUGCGAGUGUUCGGGUGUCAAACCCCUACGCGAAAUGAAAGUGAACGUAGGUGAGAGCUUC